UCAUACGUAGGACCCAAGCGUUAUUCGGAUUGAUUGGGCGUAAAGAGUUGCGUAGGUGGUCUGUUAAGCGAAUAGUGAAAUCUUGUGGCUCAACCAUAAGGCUAUUAUUCGAACUAGCAGACUCGAGAAUGGGAGAGGUAUCUGGAAUUUCUAAUGUAGGGGUAAUAUCCGUAGAUAUUAGAAGGAACACCAAUGGCGUAGGCAGGAUACUGGCCCAUUUCUGACACUAAGGCACGAAAGCGUGGGGAGCGAACCGGAUUAGAUACCCGGGUAGUCCACGCCGUAAACUAUGAAUACUAGCUGUAUGCAGUAUCGACCCUGUGUGUAGCGAAGCUAACGCGUUAAGUAUUCCGCCUGGGGAGUACGGUCGCAAGACUA
rnacentral:rRNA from 1 species